CACUGAAUAGUGUCUGGGCUGCAGGACAGAUUCGGACUUCUUCGUUGUUGCUACAAUUUAGACUUGAAAACGACCUUUUUCAAUCUUGGACUCCUCAUGAAAGU
rnacentral:pre_miRNA from 1 species